rnacentral:lncRNA from 1 species
AGAAUUUGAGCACUCAUCAAUCCCUGCAACAAUAAAGAAAAUCUUCAACCUUUCUUCCAAUUUCUUAACUCACAGAGAUGCUUGGGCCGGCACUUUUGAAGAUGUUGUUUCCCACUUAACUUCCCCAAGAACUGAUUGUCCAGGUAUUUGACCCCUCUAUUCAAAAAUAAACAAAUUAAUCUUUGUACAUUAGAUUAAAAAGCAAACUGAUCAGUCUUUUAAAAAUUUCAUUCAAUUUUGCUGUUAAAAACUGAUCCGUGUACAUCAAUAUGAAAUACACAUAGUAAGUCAUAUGUCACUACUUAAUUUUUCGUCCGUCGCAUCAAUUUUCAAUAGAAAUGACCAAUUUGCUCUUUAAUCUAAUAUAGAGAGAUUAAUUUGUCAACUUUUUUGAGUAAACGGAACAAAAUGCAAUCUAACUUAAUACAGAGGCCUCAUGAUUCUUUUACCUAGAAAAACCUUAAAAAUUCCUAAGAGAAUAUGUAAUAAUAAGACCAUGUAUGUAAGCUGUUUCAUCUGAAUCUAUUGCAGAAACAUUGUCAGAUGUUGUACCUUUGAGGACAACUGAAGCAAAAGAAGAUGCUGCUCUGUCUGAGUUUCAAAGUGAGGUUGUUCAACUAGCUGCUGUUCUUAACGGUGACCAUUUCUUGAGCAGUUUUCCCGAUGAGAUGAGCAAGAAAAUGACGGUGAAAGAAG